rnacentral:rRNA from 1 species
GACGAACGCUGGCGGCGUGCUUAACACAUGCAAGUCGAGCGGUAAGGCCUUUCGGGGUACACGAGCGGCGAACGGGUGAGUAACACGUGGGUGAUCUGCCCUGCACUCUGGGAUAAGCCUGGGAAACUGGGUCUAAUACCGGAUAUGAGCUCCUGCUGCAUGGUGGGGGUUGGAAAGAUUUAUCGGUGCAGGAUGGGCCCGCGGCCUAUCAGCUUGUUGGUGGGGUAAUGGCCUACCAAGGCGACGACGGGUAGCCGGCCUGAGAGGGCGACCGGCCACACUGGGACUGAGACACGGCCCAGACUCCUACGGGAGGCAGCAGUGGGGAAUAUUGCACAAUGGGCGCAAGCCUGAUGCAGCGACGCCGCGUGAGGGAUGACGGCCUUCGGGUUGUAAACCUCUUUCAGUAGGGACGAAGCGCAAGUGACGGUACCUAUAGAAGAAGCACCGGCCAACUACGUGC